CCGCCGCGCGGCCCGAGCUGCGCCCCGGAGGCCCCUGGGCUGUUCCCGCAAGGGGGGGGGGCGGAUUUUCUCUCCUGCCAGCCCGCUCUCUCGCGGCUGUUUAUUCCCGUCCUUCUCCCACCCCCCAGUCUGCCGUAUUUAAAUAGGCAAAUGCAUCUACAAGGACGCAAUAAUUUAGCUUGUUUGGUCUUAGGCAUUUUCUACAGGACCCCAAGAGAUGGACCUUCCUCUCUCCUUCCUCCCUCUAGAACUGGCAUCUUCAUCUCUGUCUGUGUAGGCCCAAUUAUCCAGGUCCUUGGGGCUGCAAGAGGGUCUGAGUCAUUGGAACCAGGAACACUUGGCUGAAACGCAAUAUAAUUAGAUUUUCUUUUUCUUUUCUUUUACCUUUCUUUUUUCUCCUCUUUUCUUUUCUUUAGAAAAGAGGGCUGGAAUUAGCCUCCUCGACUGGGGCGGAGUAGCCGGGGUAGGGAAAGGAACACCUUCUUACCACGACCCAACUCGCAGCCCCUUUGGAGAGAUCUACGGGCUUCAGAGCCCGGACUCCCUUCCUGUCCUCGGCCUCGCGGCUGGCCGCGGCCGCCUCCUCUUUCUCCUCCUCCUCCUCCUCUUCUUCCUCCAAUCCUGUUUUUUUUCCCCCUGCCCCCACUGUCUUCUCUUCGCUUUAAUUAAAGUUCAGCGACUCCACUAGCCUCUCAUCUCUCUCAGAAAGCGGAAACCGGACAGCCCAGCAGCCGCAGGCCCAGCCGCCCCAGCACAACUCCUGCGUGCGCUGGAGGGGCCUCCCUCGCCCGCCUCCCUCCGUCGGCUGUGGCCUCUGAACCCGGGUCUCCUGCCCCUCCGCCAUCCCGCAGGUGUGCAGCGCUUGGCCUGGGAGAUCCGAAUGACUGGGGCCGGAUACGAGGGUCCUCAUCUUCCCCCAGACCCUCAGGCUUGCUCCAGAAAGUUUGGACGGAAGCGAAGACCACAGUGCUGGAUCCGGCGACAUCCACCUCAUUUUCUCCAGGCCUCUCCUCUUGCCGGAGCUCUCAGCCACCGGGAGACAGACGGACGCCGCUUCCAGGCUGCUUUGUGCGCGGACACUGCCCCCAGCCCACUCCUGCUCGGUUUCUUUCCCAAAGUCCGGCGACCUCCAGGCCUUCUUGGGGGAAAUACCGGUACCCAGACAUCUCAGCUCCCUGUUAUAUGUGACCUGACCGGGCUCACUUCAGGAACAUGUUACAAAGAAGAAGAAGAAAGAACCGCUUUGAGCGGUGUUUACAUCUAG
rnacentral:lncRNA from 1 species